UACGUAGGGCGCAAGCGUUGUCCGGAAUUAUUGGGCGUAAAGAGCUCGUAGGCGGUUUGUCGCGUCUGCUGUGAAAACUCGAGGCUCAACCUCGGGCUUGCAGUGGGUACGGGGCAGACUAGAGUGCGGUAGGGGUGACUGGAAUUCCUGGUGUAGCGGUGGAAUGCGCAGAUAUCAGGAGGAACACCGAUGGCGAAGGCAGGUCACUGGGCCGCAACUGACGCUGAGGAGCGAAAGCAUGGGGAGCGAACAGG
rnacentral:rRNA from 1 species